rnacentral:rRNA from 1 species
AUAGGUCACUGGUGUAGAGCUCAUGUGCGGAGGAUGUCAGGGGCGACAGCUUAGGACAGAGGUUGCGGCAUAAGGAUGGAGGGGUAGGGGAGGUUCCCAUAUGGUGUGAAGAAUGUCCGUAAGUAAAUGUGGAGAGGAUGGGAGUGAGAAUGUGGGCAUGAGGUGCGAGAUGUGGGUGAGAAGCCCACGGGCCGUAAACCAAAGGUUUCCAGGGGAAGGUUCGUCCGCCCUGGGGUAGUCGGGACCUAAGCUGAGGCCGAAAGGCGUAGGUGAUGGACAACAGGGUGAUAUUCCUGUACUACCGAUAACCGGUUGAGAGAAGGGAUGACACAGUAGGAUAAGCUAAGCACACUGGUGGUUAUGUGUGCCCAAGCAUGGAGGCAGUCAAAGUAGGCAAAUCCGCUUUGAUAAUGCUGGGAGGUGAUGGGGAGCGAAA